UUCUUCAAAGUAUGACCAACAGGGAUUGCCCUAGUAACGGCGAGUGAAGCGGCAACAGCUCAAAUUUGAAAUCUGGCCUUCGGGUCCGAGUUGUAAUUUGUAGAGGAUGCUUUUGGCGCGGUGCCUUCCGAGUUCCCUGGAAUGGGACGCCUUAGAGGGUGAGAGCCCCGUAUGGUUGGACACCAAGCCUCUGUAAAGCUCCUUCGACGAGUCGAGUAGUUUGGGAAUGCUGCUCUAAAUGGGAGGUAAAUUUCUUCUAAAGCUAAAUAUUGGCCAGAGACCGAUAGCGCACAAGUAGAGUGAUCGAAAGAUGAAAAGCACUUUGAAAAGAGGGUUAAAUAGCACGUGAAAUUGUUGAAAGGGAAGCGUUUGCGACCAGACCUUUUCGUAGCGGAUCAUCCGGUGUUCUCACCGGUGCACUUCGCUUCGUUUAGGCCAGCAUCGGUUUCUGUAGGGGGAUAAAAGCUUGGGGAACGUAGCUCCCUCGGGAGUGUUAUAGCCCCUCGCAUAAUACCCUUACGGGGACCGAGGACCGCGCUUUAUGCAAGGAUGCUGGCGUAAUGGUCGUCAACGACCCGUCUUGAAACACGGACCAAGGAGUCGAACAUUUAUGCGAGUGUUUGGGUGUUAAACCCUCACGCGUAAUGAAAGUGAACGGAGGUGAGAGCCCUUACGGGUGCAUCAUCGACCGAUCCUGAUGUCUUCGGAUGGAUUUGAGUAAGAGCAUAACUGUUCGGACCCGAAAGAUGGUGAACUAUGCGUGGAUAGGGUGAAGCCAGAGGAAACUCUGGUGGAGGCUCGCAGCGGUUCUGACGUGCAAAUCGAUCGUCAAAUCUGCGCAUGGGGGCGAAAGACUUAUCGAACCAUCUAGUAGCUGGUUACCGCCGAAGUUUCCCUCAGGAUAGCAGUGUUGUUCUUCAGUUUUAUGAGGUAAAGCGAAUGAUUAGGGACUCGGGGGCGCUUUUUAGCCUUCAUCCAUUCUCAAACUUUAAAUAUGUAAGAAGCCCUUGUUACUUAAUUGAACGUGGGCAUUCGAAUGUACCAACACUAGUGGGCCAUUUUUGGUAAGCAGAACUGGCGAUGCGGGAUGAACCGAACGCGGGGUUAAGGUGCCGGAGUGGACGCUCAUCAGACACCACAAAAGGUGUUAGCACAUUUAGACAAUAGGACGGUGGCCAUGGAAGUCGGAAUCCGCUAAGGACUGUGUAACAACUCACCUAUCGAAUGUGCUAGCCCUGAAAAUGGAUGGCGCUCAAGCGUCCCACCCAUACCUCGCCCUCAGGGUAAAAACAAUGCCCUGAGGAGUAGGCGGCCGUGGGGGUCAGUGACGAAGCCUACGGCGGAGUCUCGGUUGGUG
rnacentral:rRNA from 1 species